rnacentral:rRNA from 1 species
AGCGAACGCUGGCGGCAGGCUUAACACAUGCAAGUCGAGCGGGCACUUCGGUGUCAGCGGCAGACGGGUGAGUAACACGUGGGAACGUACCCUUCGGUUCGGAAUAACGCUGGGAAACUAGCGCUAAUACCGGAUACGCCCUUUUGGGGAAAGGUUUACUGCCGAAGGAUCGGCCCGCGUCUGAUUAGCUAGUUGGUGGGGUAAUGGUCUACCAAGGCGACGAUCAGUAGCUGGUCUGAGAGGAUGAUCAGCCACACUGGGACUGAGACACGGCCCAGACUCCUACGGGAGGCAGCAGUGGGGAAUAUUGGACAAUGGGCGCAAGCCUGAUCCAGCCAUGCCGCGUGAGUGAUGAAGGCCUUAGGGUUGUAAAGCUCUUUUGUCCGGGACGAUAAUGACGGUACCGGAAGAAUAAGCCCCGGCUAACUUCGUG